rnacentral:misc_RNA from 1 species
CGAGUAUCGAUGAAGAACGCAGCUAGCUGCGAUAAAUAGUGCGAAUUGCAGACACAUUGAGCACUAAAAAUUCGAACGUACAUUGCGCCAUCGGGUUCAUUCCCGUUGGCACGUCUGGCUGAGGGUUGAAAUAUCGUAAGAGUUGCCAUUUAUGAAUUUUCAACAUGGCAUAUCCGAUAAGCUAUGAUGGUAGACGAAUAAAAGAAGUACUAUCAUACCUUCUUCAGCAUAUAUGAUGCAAUAACUCGUUCUCAUUUCCUUCAAUGAGAUGAGAGAGAGAGAGAAAGAGAAAGAAUAUAUGCAUCAAGAAAUUAUCGUGUCGCUCUUAAAAGUCGAUUCCAGCGUAUAUUGUUAUGGAUCUAGCAAUAUGCCAUAGUUGGAAAGAAAGAUAGGCGAUAAUGAUGCAUAUAAAGGAUUUUUUGACCUCAGCUCAGUCGUGAAUACCCGCUGAACUUAAGCAUAU